rnacentral:tRNA from 1 species
GGCACCGUGGCCGAGUGGUCAGGCAACGGAUUGCAAAUCCGUGUAUCCCGGUUCGAUUCCGGGCGGUGCCUCCA